rnacentral:sRNA from 1 species
UUAUUACACAUUAUUUAUUGUUAUAUAUUCGUUUAUUAACUAAAGUAUUACUGAUAUUUGUUUGUUAGUAUUUUAUAUAUUAUUAUUAUUUAUAUAAAGUUAUAUAAGCCUUACUAAUUAAUUACAUUUUUUAAUUUCUAACAUACAGUUCCUUAUUUAUGUUUUUUUACGAUGUUAUCGAUCAAUCGCUCUGAUUUCAAGGGAAGUAACAGAAUUCAACACUUUUUUUAAUAUUUCGUAAAAAAUCAUAGUAAACUUCCAAAGAAAUCCUCGCUCUAUCUAUCUGUUCAAUUCAAAGCUGUUUUAGUUGCAUUACAGAAUAUAUAUUAUUUGGAUUUGUAUGCAUCGUCGAAAUUACUUUUCACACAACAUUUUUUGUUGUUUGUUUUUUGUGUUUUAUAAAGAUAACAACUAUUUAUAAUUACUUUAACAAUGUGCGCAAUUUGUUGUAAUAAACUGUCUUAAAUACAGGAAAAAAAAACAAAAUCAAUAAAAACAUAUAUAACAAAACAAAAAUUGAAAAUUCGUGAAUGCGUCUAAACAUUGGCUUUAGAUUAUCGAUUCAUUUUUAAAGACUAAUCACAAGUAGACUAAAUACUCAUCUCAACUAAAUCUUAUACGGAGUCCCUAUUUAAUUUACAGGUGGUGGAUAGUAGAAAUGAUAUUAAUAAUCAAGAAUGUAUUACUAAAUAAAAAUGAUUGGAAAUUAUUACACAUAAACAUAUCGCAACAUGUUCGCUAGGAGUUUUAUUUUGAUUCGGCAUGUGAUGUUAACUAAAUCGAUGCGACUUGAAAUCGAAGUUUUGAAUAUUUAUUCUGGUUAUGGCGUUUGAAGGCAAAUAACACUUUUAACAUGUUUUUGAGAAAUCAUAGUAAUUCAAUUUGCAUAUGUAAUUAUUUAUUUUUUUCUGAAAAAUUAGUGCUAUUGUAUUUAAAAUUAAAGAACUAUGGGUCUAUCUCGUUUAUUUUUUACAUCGACACCUUGCAUUCUAACAAUUCCUUUUGAAUUUUAUGGCCACCAAUCAUACGAAUUUGAUUGAUUAUAAUGAAUAUGAAAUACUUUAUACUACAUUGAUUACUUUAACGGCCAUCGCAGUUAGCAAUCGAGUAGUAAAAUAUCUAUGUGUAAAAAUUGUUAUUGAUUCAAUUUUAUGAAACGGAUAGUUUUUUAAUUUUAAAACAGCAAAAUAAACUUAGACUUUCACGCAUUGUCUUCUGGUGUAAAAACAACCAAUAAUAGAAUAUGCCUUGUAAAAUGGUCCUAGAAAUGCAUUUGCAUUAAUCAAUAAAACAACACAUAAACGAAGGGCGAAUUUGUUCCUUACAUGUUGCGAUGUUUUAAUAAAAUAAAAACUGUAAGUGAGAUAGAGAUUACUUAAAAAUUAAUUAACAUAACAGAAAUAUGUAUAACUGAAGCAAAUUACACACGUGUUAAUUUGAUUUUGUUAAAAUACAGACAUAUAUAUAAAUAUUUAAAUAUACGUGAAUUAAGAGGAUGUUCACACUUAUUAAUUACAGCUAAUUAUGGAGGGGUAUAUGUUAGCUACAUAUUUCUUUCUACGCACAGAUAUUAUAUAUACACAUAAAUUAUUGUACAAUAUAUGUUCUAUAUAUAGUACACUUAAGGCAAAUAUAUAAAGUGUAGAUUAAAAAAAAGUAUUAAACAAAAUUAUGUGAACCAAAACUUUGUAGUAAUGCUUUUGAAUGGAGAAUAAAUAUAUGUAUUUGUAUUUUUUAUAGGAAAAUCCAUUUUAUUGUUGGUAAAUGAAAAAAAAAAUUGUUUUAUAGUUAAAAAUGUUAAGUAUGUACACUUUUUCAUUAUUAAAUACUAUAAUUGUUUUAGGCACUUUAGCAAUUAGAUCUCGCUUUAUAAAAUAAAACUCAAAACAAAACUCCAAGGCUUAGGGGUAAAAUCGACAUCAAUGGUAUGAAUGAAAAUGAGAAUGAAAAAUGUGAAUAUUGUUCUUCUGAAAAAUGAGACUCAAACCCUCAAAAAGAAACCAAAUAAUAUUAGAAGUUUAAUGAGAUAAUUUUAAUAUAAUUUUAGAACGACGAUAUUCUUCAUCAUCAAACUCAAAAACUCAAAUUUAAAAAAAAAAUAUUUUUGUAUGAAUUUAUGCAGCCAAACAUAUUUUUUUUAUUCAAUAAUUAAUUGGUGUUUAAAAAAGCGUUAAUUAACAAAGUAUAAAAUAUUGUUCCGGCGUGACUGUCUUUCGCAUAGAAGUAAAACAAAUAAUAGUCCCUUUUUGACAAUGUGGCUUGAAAUUUUGAAAAACUCCAGUUAUGCGUCAUUUUCUUUUUCUGUCAAAUAGAAUUUAUAUUACAUAUUAUUUCACUACAUUUUAAAUCAUUUUUUUUUUGCUGAUUAUCCAUUUUUAUUUUGCUUCGAUUUUCCUAAUCAUUUGGAGGUUGUCGAAGGCAAAUACUGAUAUAACAAAAAUGUUUAAAUUUAUAGAAAUAUGUCAAUACACCGAAAGAAAUCAAUCUUUAAAACAUGAAAAUAAUUAAGAACGUUUUUAAUUUUUGGAUAGCAAAACGGUCAUUAAUCAUGGUUUGACAAAAAAAAAAACAAAUUAAGAACAACAUAUUCCGGCAAUAGUAUAAUGCGAAAAGAAGCGAUACUUGUAAUGGAAAUAACUCCAACACUACAUGCUUCUGUCAUUGCAAUUUACUCGCCAAAGAGUCAAUUUUUAAAGUUGCAGUCAUAAUAAUUCAAAUUGCAAACAUAAACAAUUUGGCAACUGCUUUAUCUUUAAAUUCAUACAAAAUAUCGAAAUCAAUAGUACAUAUAUCUUUAAUAUUUACAAUUCCAAAUUCAAAAUAAGUUUUACUAUUUUCGCCAAUUACUAUUAUGUAGCAAGGGAUGGAGUAUUUAAAAGUUUGCGAGACAAUCGACAACUGUAAUUAAUUAAUACAAACUUAAUGUGAACAAUUUUUUGGGAUGUUUUUGUUCAUGCGGUUAGUUACGAGUACAUUAUUAAAUAUAUCAUAUUCUGUUUUUAUAUAGAGGAUUUUUUUCUUAUUCUAUGCAUUUGUGAUAAAUUUAUAUUACAAAAUAUAUAUUUAAUAUAUACAUAAAGGGGACCAGCAGUAUUUGCUUAAAGGAAUUUAAAUAUCAUUUAUUGAGGCAAUUUCCAAACAAAAUAAAAGAAAUCAAGACAAAUUUUUUUAAUAAGCAUUUGAAGAAUAAUGGCACAUUGUUUCAAAAAAAAAUGUUUCUUAUUUUGGUUUGAAUUUAAUCAAUCUUAUGCAGCAAUGUCGAAAAAAAAAAAACAAAUUAAUUAAUUAAUUUUGAUAGGAUUUAGAAUGUAAUAAUUGGAUUACUUCUGGUUUAUUGUGCUCAUAUAAAGUUGAACUUUUGUGGACGUGUUAUUGUGUCGUGUAAAUGAUAA